rnacentral:rRNA from 1 species
GACGAACGCUGGCGGCGUGCUUAACACAUGCAAGUCGAACGGAAAGGCCCUGCUUUUGUGGGGUGCUCGAGUGGCGAACGGGUGAGUAACACGUGAGUAACCUGCCCUUGACUUUGGGAUAACUUCAGGAAACUGGGGCUAAUACCGGAUAGGAGCUCCUGCUGCAUGGUGGGGGUUGGAAAGUUUCGGCGGUUGGGGAUGGACUCGCGGCUUAUCAGCUUGUUGGUGGGGUAGUGGCUUACCAAGGCCUUGACGGGUAGCCGGCCUGAGAGGGUGACCGGCCACAUUGGGACUGAGAUACGGCCCAGACUCCUACGGGAGGCAGCAGUGGGGAAUAGUGCACAAUGGGCUGAAGCCUGAUGCAGCAACGCCGCGGGCGGGAUGACGGCCUUCGGGUUGUAAACCGCUUUCGCCUGUGACGAAGCGGGAGUGACGGUAAUGGGUAGAGGAGCACCGGCUAACUACGUG